rnacentral:misc_RNA from 1 species
CCAAACUUGGUCAUUUAGAGGAAGUAAAAGUCGUAACAAGGUCUCCGUUGGUGAACCAGCGGAGGGAUCAUUAAAGAGUUGUAACUAACUCCCUAACCAUCUGUGAAUCUACCCGUACAGUUGCUUCGGUGGGCAGCCCCAGGGCGGGGCUGUGGCCGCAAGGCGCCCGCCGGAGGAUACCAAACUCUUUUUGUUUUAGUGGUCUUCAGAGUACUACAAGAAUAAGUUAAAACUUUCAACAACGGAUCUCUUGGUUCCAGCAUCGAUGAAGAACGCAGC